GAUAGAAUCCAGAAUUUUAUCAUCACAAUCUACCAUCUGACUCUGCAUAAUGUGUAGAUAGACUUCCAAGCAUUCUUUCUUUUCAGAGAGCAGUGCAUCUCAACCUCAGCAACUUUAAGAAGUAUGGACUUCCUCAGAUAACCAUUCUGGAAACUGAAUUCCAUGUAUCAUAAGGUUCUGCCUUAAGAGAAAAGGAAUCUCAGUUAAUAUCUAAUAGAAUGAUGUAUGAAAUUAAAGAAAAACUGCAGCUGUUAUUCUCCCCCAUUGUCUGGGUCUACCUAGAUGCUUAUGAAAACAAUUUGGCUUCAAAAUACAAUUACUGUUAUUAAAAGUAUGAUUUGUGUUGUCUGAAGCAAAUAAAUU